AAAAGCACCUGCAAGGCCUGAAAGAGAUGAAGCUUUAGCCAAGAAAAAGUAACACAAAAGUAACUAAAAGUAACGUAAGCAUUACUUUCCAUGAAAAGUAACUAAGUAAUGCAAUUAGUUACUUUUUUUGGGAGUAACUUAAUAUUGUAAUGCAUUACUUUUAAAAGUAACUUUCCCCAACACUGGUCCUGUAUGAACUCAGCCCUGGUAGAUGGUUUUACACCCCAGAACUUGCCUGAGCUGAAGGUGACCCCUAAAAAUGGAUGAGUUGUAAUAUAAACCAGACUGCAUUGUUGAAAGGGAUUUGGUUUUUCAUAAUGUGGCAAAGAAAAACGUUUGUGUGUUAAAUCUGUGCAUGUUGGACAUUUGCAAGGAAAAACAGAUACUAAGGGAUAAAAUCUCUAUUUGCGUAGAAGUACAUCCAUCAUGGAGAGUAUUGUGUAAACCUCCUGUGGAGAUCUUCAGUGUAGAGUUGUAUUAUAGACUCAAAUAGCUCGGUAUCAAAGUUUAAUAAGAUUGUUCUGUCCUGUAAUGCUCAUGAUGUUUUUCAUAUGUUUUUUGAAUGUCCAAGACUUGUUCCUUUAUUUGUAAUACUUGAAAGUUGAUCACAAAAUUGGGGUUUUCAUAUAACAAUACCUUAGUUUAUAUUAGGAUAUAAAUAUAAAAGUUCAUGGCAACAACAAUGAUUCUUGUCAUUUUUUAUUGGCCCAGCUAAGGCCUAGUCCACACGGACAUGGGUAUUUUUAUAACCGGAGUUUUUCCUGCUGCGGUUUAAAGAAAAUCCCCUCCACACAUGCUCGCUUAAAGAAAUCUCUGCCCACAUGAACAUGGAACAACACGUAAUUACACGCUGUCAAGAGCAUGCCACACCGGCAGGCGGUGAUAUAACUCAAAUCAUAAAGCCACCGUGGCCAAUCAGAAGCCUAACACAAGUGACGUUGGAAGGCGGUUUUACUGUCUACACAACAACACUGCACUCGGCGUUUCUUAAAAUACACACCCUGGCAGGGGUUUUCAAAAAUGUUCAGUUUUAGUGACGUGAUACUGCGUGUCUGUGUGGAUGAAAGGCGUAAAAAAGUCACGGUUAUAAAAAUACCCGUGUCCAUGUGAACAAGGCCUAAGUUUGCCAUUUUGAAAUCCCGCCAGUGUAAAAAUGCAGGAAAAUAAGGCCUAGUCCACACGGACAUGGGUAUUUCUAACCUGAGUUUUUCCUCCAAACAAAUCCUGUCCACACAUGCUCAGUUUAAAAGAAAUCUCUGUCCACAUGAAAAAGCAAAAACACUUUUAUAAAAACACGCUUAUAAAAAUACUCAGGUCCGUGUGGACUAGGUCUAAGUCUUUUAUAGAAUUGUGAGUGUCCAUUGAGUUUACAUAUUACAAAUACACAGAUAAUGUUGCUUUGUUUUGAAUGGAGAUGGGGUGUGAGAGAGGCUGACUUUUGUUGUGGAUCUUGUAUCAAAUUUGUCUUAAGCCCUGUUUUCUCUCUCUCUCUCUCUCUCUCUCCCUAUAAUUUGAAAAUUACAUUGCUGUAGUUUGCAAUGAAUUGUGGGAGCAUGCUAAAUGCAAAUUUUACAGUUAUGUCUGCAAUAUUGUAUUUUUAAAAUAGGCUAAUAUGUAAAUGCUACAGGACAACAUGUAAUGACACUUAUUAUUUUAUUUUAUGUAUUUAUUUAUUUAUUGAAAAAGUCAGCUGUGGCACUAGCUUGGAAAUAAAAGCUUUGGCACUUUACAAUAACUGCAAUAAAUGCAGCCUAUUAAAUGAAUUAUAAACAUGCAUGUAGAUUCUGUUAAUGUACAAAUCUUUGUCAAAAAUGUUUGAUAAGAAACACAUUUACACAACAUGUGCGUAGCGCAGUACGUGUGAUGUCACGACGUCAUCAGCAAAUUUGCGCGCGGUGCACAUGCGCAUUGCGAGUUUGCGCAGACAGGUGUCUACGGAGUGGAAAGAAGUUGUUGCAUCUGAUAAUUCUUCAAUCGUGUAGCAGAAACUGCAGCUUACAUGGAAUGAGGAUUAUCGGAUUCACCUACACUCACUGAUCAUCCAAGGUGAAUUGAUGACCCCAAGCAAAUGGAUGUUGUCAUCUGAAGAGAAGGUUGUCCUGGGCCCAUGUUAAGAGGCAUUUGGGGCAUAUCAGACACAUAUCAGAAUCAAGCUGCAUGCACACUUGAGUUUAUUCAGAGAGAAGUUGUGGGCAUCAGUCUGGAAACUGGAUCAAAGAUUUGCUGCUGGAACGUGUGACAAAUAAAGGCAUGGAAUGAACCCAAAUGUAUGAACACUGCUACGAAAACUAAUGGACUUUGAAUGACUUACCAGUUAAUUCCAGUGGAAGUUUUCAAGUUUGUGGUUAAUUUAAAAGAUUAUCUUCAUAGAUAAGCAAUUUAAAGGUAGGCACAGUUAAAACUAUUUCUUGUGUGUUUGUUUAAACUGUAAAUUUAUGACUGAAGUUUGGUCACUAAUAUGUAGUAAUGUGUUCCUUUGUGGUUAAUUAAAUGCUGCAGUGCUUUGUGCUAUUCGUUGUUGUAUUUCCAACGCUAAAGCCUUAUUUUGUGAUCUGCAUUGUAUUGGAGAGUUUUGGAAACUAAUAUUUAUUAUCUUAAUGCAUUGGAAAGUUUUGGACUAUUUUACAAUAAAUGCAUUUGGCUACAUGAUUUUCUGUUAUUUUAAGUGUUUUAGUUUACAUUACAUUAAAGGAUUUAUCACAGCAGUUAAAAAAAAAAUUACAGUAAUUUUUUUACAGUGUAGGCUACCAUGACACAAGUUGCAGCUCCAAAAACAUUUCUUAGUCAAGUUGUAUAGCUACAAGCAGCACAAAACAAAAGAAGUGGAUUUGAUGAAGUCAUGUUGUAGUAUUGCUGAACAACGUUCACCAGUUAGAGAUUGAGGUGGAAUAUGAGUUAACAGUGGACGUGGUCUUACUUUGCAGCAAAAGCAAAACCCUAAAAGUUUCAAUGCUGAAGGAGGAUACAUUUAAAACACUAUAAAUUUACUGAUUUAUGUAAUUUUACUUACAUUUCUACAGAAAAAUAAUCAAUAAAACAUUUACAGAAAUUUUCUGUAAAAAUAAUUUUUUUAAUCUGUAAAAAUGAACGGCAAAUUUCUGUGAAAAUUAACGGCAAAUGUCUGUGGAAAUGAACGGCAAAU